GACGGAGGGGGCUAGCGUUGUUCGGAAUUACUGGGCGUAAAGCGCGCGUAGGCGGCGCAUUAAGUCAGAGGUGAAAGCCCGGGGCUCAACCCCGGAAUUGCCUUUGAGACUGGUGUGCUUGAGUACGGAAGAGGUGAGUGGAAUUCCCAGUGUAGAGGUGAAAUUCGGUAGAUACUGGGAAGAACACCGAGUGGCAAGGCGGCUCACUGGUCCGUAACUGACGCUGAGGUGCGAAAGCGUGGGGAGCAAACAGGAUUAGAUACCCGCGUAGUCC
rnacentral:rRNA from 1 species